rnacentral:rRNA from 1 species
UCUGCCGUGGGCGCUGGAGAACUGAGGGGGGCUGCUCCUAGUACGAGAGGACCGGAGUGGACGCAUCACUGGUGUUCGGGUUGUCAUGCCAAUGGCACUGCCCGGUAGCUAAAUGCGGAAGAGAUAAGUGCUGAAAGCAUCUAAGCACGAAACUUGCCCCGAGAUGAGUUCUCCCUGACUCCUUGAGAGUCCUGAAGGAACGUUGAAGACGACGACGUUGAUAGGCCGGGUGUGUAAGCGCAGCGAUGCGUUGAGCUAACCGGUACUAAUGAACCGUGAGGCUUAACCUU